GCAUAGCUCAGUGGUAAAGCAUCUGCUUUGUAUGCAGAAGGCUCCAGGUUCAAUCCCUGGCAUCUGCA